CGGAGUGGACCACACAGACAAAAUGCUAUAGGAUGGGGAUUGUAAAGAGCAUACAUUAAAGUCUCUCCUGAGAGCUUUAAAAUAUGCCAUGCUCAGGCCACAACACAGACAAAUUAAAUCAGAACCUCUGGGGGUGAGCAAUGCUGUUGUUAAAUACGCACCUCCUGUGGACCUUCCAUGCAAUACAACUGGACCAUAUGCGCUUCCGGGCACUGACUGCCCACUUAAUGUGGAGGGUUACGAGGUCCAUCCUGUAAAGGCCCCACCACCCUUCACUCCAUGCUGAGGACCAGGCCUGCAACACUGGAACUCCUGGUGGACAAAACGCAUCACAACUACACCAAUUACCAAAAGUAUGAAGCGGAAAGAGACCCCUGGGACAGAUGAUAAUGCCACCGCAGGGAGCAGGGGAAGAGGAGCAUGCUGGGAGGACAAUUCCCUAAGGAAUGACGGACCAACAAGAUGAAAAGUAGCAGGAUCCUGGAAGGACUGGAACAGCUGCCAACUGGACUCUCAUCACAGACUUGGCGAAAGACUUGGGAAUUAUCCGUCCUCUGUUGGAGGAGGAGCUCUCUGCCCAAGCAUCCUAAACCUUCACCCUCUAUAAUAGGCCAUUCAUUUAAGGUGCACAAUGACCCAGAGAGUUGGCUACUAUUAUUAUUCCUGUUUCACAUGUAAGGUUACUGAGGCUCAGAGAAGGCUGAAUAAUUUGCCCAAAUCUAUCGCUGAACCGCCCUAAAUGGACCCAAUCUUACAAGCUUGCUUGGUGCUUGGAUGGGAGGCUGCUUAUCACUGCCAGAAGCCCGAGGCUUUACAAUAAUAAUAAAUUCACCCACAAUUCCCAAACCAUGUGGUGCAAACAACAUCAGAAGCCAGAUUCCUUCAGCUCUAAAGAACACACACAAGUUCUGACUCACAAGUUCCAGGGCUGAGGCUGAGAAUCUGCAUUUGUAUAAAG
rnacentral:lncRNA from 1 species